GCUCGCUUCGGCAGCCAUAUACUAAAUGGAACGAUACAGAGAAGAUUAGCAUGGCCUGCGAGGAUGAAUCUUAAGACUGUCCAUGUUACCUACAGGAUU
rnacentral:snRNA from 1 species